rnacentral:rRNA from 1 species
GGGACCAAGCGUUGUUCGGAUUUACUGGGCGUAAAGGGCGCGUAGGCGGCGUGUUAAGUCAGUUGUGAAAUCUCCGGGCUUAACUCGGAACGGUCAAUUGAUACUGUUGUGCUAGAGUACAGAAGGGGCAAUCGGAAUUCUUGGUGUAGCGGUGAAAUGCGUAGAUAUCAAGAGGAACACCUGAGGUGAAGACGGGUUGCUGGGCUGAUACUGACGCUGAGGCGCGAAAGCUAGGGUAGCAAACGGGAUUAGAUACCCCGGUAGUCCUAGCCCUAAACGAUGAAUACUUGGUGUCUGGAGUUUUAAUUCUCCGGGUGCCGUCGCUAACGUUUUUAGUAUUCCGCCUGGGGAGUACGCACGCAAGUGUGAAACUCAAAGGAAUUGACGGGGGCCCGCACAAGCGGCGGAGCAUGUGGCUUAAUUCGAUGCAACGCGAAGAACCUUACCUAGGCUUGACAUGCUAGUUAAAGCGGGUGAAAGCCCGUGUCCGUAAGGGGCUAGCACAGGUGCUGCAUGGCUGUCGUCAGCUCGUGCCGUGAGGUGUUGGCUUAAGUGCCGCAACGAGCGCAACCCCUACUAUUAGUUGCCAGCGAGUUAUGUCGGGGACUCUAAUAGGACUGCCGGGGACAACUCGGAGGAAGGUGGGGAUGACGUCAAGUCAGCAUGGCCCUUAUGCCUAGGGCUGCACACAUGCUACAUUGCGCGCUACAAAGGGCUGCGAUCCCGCGAGGGGGAGCGAAUCCCAAAAAAGCGUGCCUGGUUCGGAUUGGAGUCUGCAACUCGACUCCAUGAAGUCGGAGUCGCUAGUAAUCGCAGAUCAGCAACGCUGCGGUGAAUACGUUCCCGGGCCUUGUACACACCGCCCGUCACACCACGAAAGUGGGUAACACCCGAAG